rnacentral:rRNA from 1 species
UACGUAGGGUGCGAGCGUUGUCCGGAAUUAUUGGGCGUAAAGAGCUCGUAGGCGGUGUGUCGCGUCGGCCGUGAAAACCUGGGGCUUAACUCUGGGCGUGCGGUCGAUACGGGCAUCACUAGAGUUCGGCAGGGGAGACUGGAAUUCCUGGUGUAGCGGUGAAAUGCGCAGAUAUCAGGAGGAACACCGGUGGCGAAGGCGGCCAUCUGGACCGGAACUGACGCUGAGGCGCGAAAGCCAGGGGAGCGAAUGGG